rnacentral:lncRNA from 1 species
AAGGAGAAGAAGGAUAAAAAAAUAUAGGAAACAAAAAAAAAAAAAAACCACAAAAAACCAACAAACCCACAGACAACGUUAAUGAAAAGAGCCGAUGCAGGAGCAAGAACUGUACAGAUGUGGCAGCUUUUUUAAUUAAUAUCCCCUGCUGACUGUAUUGUUAUUUUUAGUGGUGAUAUAGGAGGUUUCUUUUUUUUUUCUUUCUUUUUUUCUGUUGUAUUUUUUUUCCUAGAAUAUCGAGCUGUCUCGCAUGAACACUUGUCUCUGCUGCAGGUUUCUUUUUGGGUAUUUUUUUUUGUUUUUUAUAAUGUCAGCUGGGAUAUUGCUCGUUUACCUGCUUUAUGACUAAAGAGAGUGAAAGGCACUCUGUCUUAACUUGAAUUUCUUAGAACAGAAGCACUGUUUUUAAAAUAUAUAUAUAUAUAUAUAUAUUUGAAAGUGCCUUUUGGUGCAUGUGUCAGAUUCCCUUCAAUCUCAGGAGUGAUGAAAACAAACAUACAACCAUCCUGGGCAGCACUCCCUGUGACCCUAAGCCAGUUCUAGCUGGGAAGGAGUUAACAAAAAGGAACUGUGGAGAUUGUUUCUUUUUUGCCUUUUUUUGUUUCGUUUUGUUUUGUUGUUUUUUUUUUAAGGGGGUGACUCAUUCUGGGGUGGAAGAAGAUGGGGGGUGGGGAGGGGGGGAGAUGUUUUGAGUCAAAAUCUUAACAGCCAUCUUUAAGCCUCAGCAGGUGGUGAACUAGUCAUCAUGUUGUAUAUAAUUCAGUGUUAUCAGAUGCAAAAUACCGACCAACGGGCUCUGCUGGCCCCUGGUCACACUCAAUGUAGCUGCAUAGAACUAUAGCAUUGAUAAAGCCUUUGGUUAUUGCAACAGAAAUCUCCAACAGCCCUUGCCUAAACCCUACAAAGUAAAUGGUGACAUGACCAAAGGCCCAUCUCUUUGUUUUUCUGCUACCGCCGCGUUUUGGCUCCCACGACCUCGUGAGCGACGGACACGCCGGCGGGGUGAGGAGGUGGUGCUGGUGCUGGUGUCCCCCAUCCCUGAAGAUGCCCAGCACUGGUGAGGAGGUGCUCCUGGUGUCCCCCAUCCCUGAGGAUGCCCAGCACUGGUGCUGCUCUCCCGGGCUGAGGCAGGGUUUGUGCGGCGCCGCUCGCGGCCGAGGCAGUGCCAAGGACAGGGACAGGUUACCCACAGUUUUCCCAUCCCUAAGUAUGGAGUUAGUCUAGUACCACAUUAAUGCCUUGGAGCAUUAGUAGCCAAAGCUCAACAACAUCGUGUAACUCAGCUAAUGUGUGUCCUUUCUAUUCGAUGGGUAGGCGCUGCUAUCUGUUGUAAAUGUGUUUUUUUGGAGAAGAAGUGCAACGAGGGCCUGUUCAGUAUCUUGUGGUUAAUAUGCUCAAGCAUUGCCAAGUAAGCAAGAGGUUUUGCAGCAUCCAGGCAUAAUUCAACAUCAGUAUUAUAAAUGGUAGCAAACUACCUAGUUUAUAUGUAGGGUCAGUUUAACCAAUAACAAAUAGUUAUUAGCUUUUUUUAUUACAUUUUUCCUUUACUGAUUUGGACUAGUGGGUUUAUGUCUAAUGUUUGUAAAAUGAUUUAGACUGCAUGGAUGUGUAAUAUAAACCACAUUUAAUGGAUUAUGAGCCACUUAAUUAAUGUGCUAUGAAAUCUUGGAUUACCUGUGUUUUAUAUUCUGCAGACGAUUUUGCAGUGGGUUCGCUAAAACUUGUAAAAGUGCUUAGAUAUAUUUUCCUUUAAAUCCAAGAAUGUGCACAGUAUUGGAAGGUGAUUGUCCAGGGGAUAAUCACGCUCUUUUUGAUAUCUCUAUUGAUUCUCAAGUUGAAUGCUAAAAGUUAAAGGGGGGGAUGCGGGGGGAGCGAGCGCGUGCACACGAGAGCGAGAAUGAGAGGACGAGAGCUUGGGGUGAUGAGUGGGCACCUUUCAGAGGGUAAACUGGGCUGCAAGAUCGUCUCUAUAGAUUUUUGAAAUGCUCCUACUGCAUUUUAUAUUUCAUUGUAUCAUAUUUUCUAUAAAAUGCAAUUUCUGUAAAUUAAUGAGCAUUUGAAAUGUGUCUUGUAUGAAGUGGAAUAUGGUAAAAGUCUGCCCGAGGGGACUUCAGCAUUACCAGGAUGUUAUUAACUACCAAGGGUGAGAUCUUUCUUUUUGUCUCGGUCGGUCAGUCAAUGGGUCAGUUUGUCUUUCAUGGCUCAGAGAGCAAAUUCACUCUCACCCAAGGUUCUUGAGGAGACCGGGAGGCAAUAGUGUGGACCUCAGAGGAGAGGGAUGGCACUAAUGGCAGCAGCAAGGUGAGGAUGUCACACCACAGGCAUGGGCCGGCAGCACCUGACACUUUUCCAGAUUCCCAUUCCAUCGUUGUGAACUCAGUCAUCUUGUGUGGCCACCAUGAAAGUCUUGGUUUGCUUCUGCCAUGUGCCAUCCCCCUCCUCUUGACCACUCUUGGCAGACCUCACAGCCCCCUGCUCCCAGCCACCUGGCACAGAGCCUGCAUGGCCCUGCAGCCUCUCUUCCUUACCAUGGCACUCUUGAUUCUUCCCUGAUUCUUUUGGAAAAGCCACGGGAUGGAAUAUUUCACCACCAGGGCUUUGCACCUCUGCAGAAGCUGCCUGGGCACAGGCAGAGUGAUUAAUAAAAACACACUUGGUGUUUCUUGCUGCUGGUGUCCGUCGCCGUAGCCUCGUCACUGACACGGGAGGAGGAUUCAGCUCGAGGGCCAGGUGAGGCCAAUGGUUCUCCAUCCACGGGUCGGUGCCACUGCCUGCCAGCUCCGUGUGGCUCCUGGAAUGCUCCUGUGGAUCCUGCCAAGCCAGGUCUCUGCUGUGAGCUGUGCCUUGCCAUCCACCUGGCACUGCUCAAUCCCUGCUCCAGAGCGCUUGGUGCUUCACCUCUGCUGCAGUUUUGGCUGGGAUGAGGGAUUCCAGGUGGGGAGGGGCUGCAAGGGAUGUGGGACAGCAGCUCCAGGCCAUCAGCAGUGCACUCUUCCCAGCUGUGCAACAAGGAGCCACUUAGCCAUGCAGGGGAUGUUGUCUGACUUCAGCUUGUCUAAACAUUUCAUGUUUUCAAGAACAUUUAUGCAACCUAAGUCAAACAAAACUCUUCGAGUGAUUAAAAAUAAACCAACCUGUUUCCAUUGGCGACUUUUUUUAAAAUCAGCGGCUAUUUUUUCCUGCAGCAUUUGCAAUCCAGCCGUUCCAAUCCCACGAGCCUAUAAAUCAAACCAACCAGAUUAUUGUGUUUUGACCCAGUUCUGUUCAGUCUCCCUCUGCAGGACCUCUUCUUUCUUUUCCUCUUCCCCUUUCUCCUCCCUGUAUACUCCCUCUGUGAGGUGUACAGCCCCACAAGCAGCAGCAGCAGCAUCAGGCCACUUCUCUUGCAGUGGGAUCACUGGAAGGUAAGCGAGGGGCACAUCCAGCAGUGAAAACAGAACACUCUUUACAAACAUUUUUGCUUGCUAAUGUUUGUAACCCAGCUAAAAAAUUUUACAUUAAUCCAGGGCAUCCCAUUGACAAGGUGAAUUUGCCAUCACUCAGUCCCCCUCUGAUCCUCAUGGAUGUGACACAGUGACAACCAGUUGCAGCUGGAGGCAGCUUACAAGGAGCUGUGGAGAGGCAAAGAACCCUUUGGCUGAGCCUGCAGUUGCUGUUUAUUCUGAGAGGCAGCAGGAGGGGUUAAUGCAUUGAGAUCAGAGUCCUAAUUCCCUUACUAAUAUAAACUAAAACAAUAAACUAUUUAAAGAAGUGACCCCCACUCUUUGUACCCUACAUGUCAGUGGGGAAGGGUGUGCUCUCAGGCAGGUGGAGGGUGUCCCGUCCCUAAAACACCACUGUCCCACCCUGCUACCCCGUGGCACUGCCAGGGGACACCACCACAGCUCUCCCUGCUGUCUAAGGGAUGAGUUCCCAAGGCACUGGGGCUGGACACACGUGUGGCUUCCCUAAGGAUGAGGAUUGUACAUCCCCGAGCCAGGGACCGUGCAGGUGCAGUGUCACUGCUGUACCCACAGCCACCCCUGGCAGAGCAGGACCCACAGCCCUGCUGGUGUUUAUCGUGCACCCUAAAGCUGGGAGCAGCCUCAGUCUCAGAAAUGCCUUGCAAGGCAAGGAGGAGAUUCAGCAGGUAAUUAAUGACAGUAAAUAGGCAAGUCUGUUCCAGGUGUCCCACAUUCUAGUCAUGGUUUUGCCUCUGGUUUUGUGUUUUCCAUUUUUGCCCCUUUUUUGUUGGACCAGGUGAGGCUGCUGGCAGUAGUAGGAUGCUGAUGAGGAGUUUGCUCCCCAUGGGUUUUAAGGGAUAGUCAGGUCCAAAUCCAGCCUUCAGAAGUGGGGUUUCAGAGGUGGCUGUAACUGCUUCACAUAGGGUGGACGCUCGGGCAUUGAAGAGAGGCAAUGGUCAGUGCAGCGUCUGUACCACACAAUAUGCCAAGAUUGCAACUUUGUUUAAUCUAAAAAGAAAAUAUAUAUUAAAGGUAAAACACAGAACUUUUAUUUGUGAUGUCUUUUGGAGCUCUUUAUUUUAAGUGUGAAAAAAAAUAUACUGGGGGAUGGGGGAAAUGCUGUGUCACGAUGAAUGCAAGUGUUUAAAACAGCAGCCAGACAACGUAGGUGUCUCCCACGCAAAUUAACUCAGUUUCAUGGGGAAAAUAAAAGUUCUUUCCAGUCCACACCAACCCCACAUACAACUGCUCACACACAGUGUACAUAAUGUAGUUAGUGCUUGAAGCGACAAACCUAAUAGGGGAAAAAACAGCAACAACACCAACACGUAGAUGUAUAAUUGGAGCACUUUUUUUUUUUUUUUAAUUUUAAUGAUGAUUUUGCAUGUUUCCUUUCUGAUGGAGAAGCUGUGUAGCAGCCCGCAUGACUGUGGUUGUUCUCAAGGAAGACUCUGCUGUUCUGCUGUAUUCACGCAAAAGCAAAAGUUUGCGUCCGUUAACCCAGUUCAAAAACCUUUUUUUGUAACCGCCAACAGCACAAAUAUUUUGUAUUGUUGUUUGUACCAUUUUUGUACCAAAAACAAAAGAGGGAAAAAAAAAAAAAAAAAAGGGAAGAGAGUAAAUGUUUUCAAUGUGUUUUUAGUGCCACUGCAAUCUUGGUUUCCAAACUGAGUGACAGGUUUGCUGAUUUAUUGUGUAUCAAAGCUGAACUGGCGCACUGACGCCUGGCUCCAGUGUAAUAAAAAUAAAGUCCCCCUUUUGAAUAG